rnacentral:tRNA from 1 species
UAGCUCAGUGGUAGAGCGCUACAUUUGCAUUGUAGAGGCCAGGGGUCCGACUCCCUU